AUCGCCUACAUCGCUUCCUAGAAAGCUUCCCAGCCCGGACCUCUGCAGCCACGGCUGCCUUUCCGCCAACCCCUCGAGCUACGGAGGCUCACCAAGCUUGGACCGGGACAACCUCCUCCCAGGAGGCCGGGAUGGGGUAGGGUCGGGUGGAGUUGCUCCAGCCCAGACCACCCUCAGCGCCCCAGUAUUCCCAGCCUGGACUGGCAGGGAGGUUGCAGGAGGCACACGGGGCCCUCCAGCAGGAGCUCAGCGCUAAGAUCUCCUCGCGGGCCCUCCUGACCCUUGGAUCCUGCGCCAGUCGUUCGCUCACCGAGUGACUUCAUGUAGUCAUCAAAAUUCUUGCUGUCCACUAGCUUCCAGAAGAGGCGCGGAGGCUCGAAUGGGAAUGACGCGGUCACCAUAAGUAGAAAAGAUUUGGAGCCCGGACAGAGAACGUGGUCUAGUGGCCCUUGAGCCUUCUUGCUUCAUCCAGACAAGUGGAGAAGAGUUGCCUUGGACACCGCCGAGGCUGAGCUGCCCAGCGCCUCACCUGCUCUGGGAGAACAUGACCUUGCUUCCCUCAUGCUAGCCCCACACGUGCUUGCCCCUCCCUGCGGAAUGUCUCCUGCCUGCGCCUCUCUCCGCAGUCCCACUCCCCACCGCUGCCUGAAAGCGCUCCAGGCUUUUCUGACCUCUGAGCUAGCGCCAGGGUCGUUCUUCACUCCGCGUAGAAAGUUUGUCUAUUCAGAUAGUUCUUCUGGCCUCGGCCACCUUAACUGCCGGAAAGCCGCGACCCUUUUCUGGAGUCAGUUUUAUCUCUGACUUCUGCCACUAGACUGUUUGACACCUUAAAGCACUUUAUUAAAUAAGACCCACUUCA
rnacentral:lncRNA from 1 species